rnacentral:rRNA from 1 species
CAAUAGCGUAUAUUAAAGUUGUUGCAGUUAAAAAGCUCGUAGUUGGAUUUCUGGUAGGAGCGACCGUGCCGAACUUGAUUGUUCGAGUAUUGUGUUGUCUUCAGCCAUCCUCGUGGAGAACUUUUCUAACAUUAACUUGUUGGGAUUGGGACCCGCGUCGUUUACUGUGAAAAAAUUAGAGUGUUUAAAGCAGGCAUUAGCUUGAAUACAUUAGCAUGGAAUAAUAAGAUAGGACUUUGGUACUAUUUUGUUGGUUUGCAUACCAAAUUAAUGAUCAACAGGAACAGUUUGAGGAUAUUCGUAUGAACAUGUCAGAGGUGAAAUUCUUGGAUUUUGAUCAGACGAACUACUGCGAAAGCAUUUAUCAAGGAUGUUUUCAUUUA